rnacentral:rRNA from 1 species
UACGGAGGAUGCGAGCGUUAUCCGGAUUUAUUGGGUUUAAAGGGUGCGUAGGCGGCUUAGUAAGUCAGCGGUGAAGUUUUGCAGCUUAACUGUAACAGUGCCGUUGAUACUGCCAGGCUAGGAUUUGGUUGCUGUGGGUGGAAUGUGUGGUGUAGCGGUGAAAUGCUUAGAUAUCACACAGAAUAUCGAUUGCGAAGGCAGCUCACAAAGCCAAGAUUGACGCUGAGGCACGAAAGUGUGGGGAUCAAACA